rnacentral:rRNA from 1 species
AUAUCAAUAAGCGGAGGAAAAGAAACUAACAAGGAUUCCCCUAGUAACUGCGAGUGAAGCGGGAAAAGCUCAAAUUUAAAAUCUGGCUGGUCCUUUGCGUCAGUCCGAGUUGUAAUUUAGAGAAGCGUCUAUCCGCGCUGGACCGUGCACAAGUCUCCUGGAACGGAGCGUCAUAGAGGGUGAGAAUCCCGUCUUUGGCAUACGGACUACCAGGGCUUUUGUGAUGCGCUCUCGAAGAGUCGAGUUGUUUGGGAAUGCAGCUCAAAAUGGGUGGUGAAACUCCAUCUAAAGCUAAAUAUUGGCGAGAGACCGAUAGCGAACAAGUACCGUGAGGGAAAGAUGAAAAGCAACUUUGGAAAGAGAGUGAAACAGUAC